UACGGGGGGAGCAAGCGUUGUUCGGAUUUACUGGGCGUAAAGGGCGCGUAGGCGGCGCGACAAGUCACUUGUGAAAUCUCCGGGCUUAACUCGGAGCGGCCAAGUGAUACUGUCGUGCUAGAGUGCGGAAGGGGCAACUGGAAUUCUCGGUGUAGCGGUGAAAUGCGUAGAUAUCGAGAGGAACACCUGCGGCGAAGGCGGGUAGCUGGGCCGACACUGACGCUGAUGCGCGAAAGCCAGGGGAGCGAACGGG
rnacentral:rRNA from 1 species